UCCACACCAGCUUUCACAGCCCCGUCCCCUAGGAGACCCGGGGACAGACGGAAGAAGGAGCCUCCUCGGGUUUCAGGGCUGGACGGAGGAGACAGGGGGUGACGGGGUUGGGGAAAGAGAAAUGGAAAAGCGAGGGGGCGCGAGUGAUCAGCUGGUUGAUGAGGAAAAGUUGGAAGAUAAAUGUAUAAUCCUAGACCUGCAGAAUUGUCAGAGGCCAUUAUGCUGAGCGUCACGAGGGGGGCUCUGGAGUCAGGCAGGACUCCAGGCACCAACUGCCACUACCUACCAAACGACAAGGCUGACUCUGCCUCCUCUGAGGCCACCACACUCGCUGCUCCUCCUGCUCCCUCACCUGCACUGUGAAGAUAGUAAUAGGACCCAGCUCACAGUGUUGUUGGAGGAUUCAAUGAGGUGAGGAAAAAUGAGGCCCACAGAGGCGCGACAGGCAAACACCCAGCGGGGCAGGUGCUGGGACCCCUCUGCCAGCCCAGAGCUUGCUGCAGGACCCAUUCCAGAAAGAGGAGGAAUUCCCAGCUGAGGCCAAAGUUCAUUCCAUCAGAGGUGUUGCAGUGUGGUGGGGAGGAGUCUUGCGGUGAGAAACAGGUAGAUGCUGCUGCAGUGGAAACCGAGGAAGUGCGAGAAUGUGCGUCCUCCACAUGUCUGUCCUCGAAGCCUGUCCUGCUCCAACAAGGGGACCCCAAGAACAGCAUUUAGUGGCGGCCUAGCACCUGAAGUCCUCGGAUCCACCACCAGGGACACUCUGGAAAGCCCUGGCUCCAAACCAGUGUGAUUCUAAUCUUCCCAGCAGACUGUCUAAAAUGUAAUUUACGAGCAAGGCUCUCCCGGCUUCUCCAUCCUGCAGCCUGGGCAGGACUCCCAGCCAGUGAAUGGGCUGGGGAGCGGGAGUGGGGCUGGGGCCAGCCUCGCUGGGUCAUCUCCCAUUCUGCUCUAUCUGCCCAUCAGCUGGGGGAACGGGCCCAAACCCGGGGAAGCUUUUCACUUGGAACCGACUUCAGUUCCGGGUUCAUGGAAGGCAGUUGGCCCCGAUGCAGCAACAGAUUGCCGUUUGCUGUGGACUCUGCAAAACCUUGCGGCAGGAGAGACCUCUUGGAGGCCAUGACAUUAGGCCAGGACAUUUGCGCAUUCAUUAACUCAUGUUACUGUACACUUUCUAUGCAUCACACAGUCCUGGGAGCUGAGGUUGUAGUGCCGAGCACAGAGACCAGUUCCUGUUCUUUUGAAGCUAGCAGUUUGGUGGAAGGGACCGACAUUAAUCCCAUAGUUACUUAAGAGAAUGCUGGCGGGGCACGGUGGCUCAUGUCUGUAAUCCCAGCAUUUUGGGAGGCCUAGGCAGGAGGAUCUCUUGAGGCCAGGAGUUUGAGACCAGCCUGGGCAACCUAUUGCGACCCUCAUCUCUAAGAAAAUUAAAAUUAACCAGGCAUGGUGGCAAAUGCCUGUAGUCCCAGCUACUAGGGAGGCUGAAGUGGGAGGAUCGAUUUAGCCCAGGAGGUCAAGGCUACAGUGAGCUAUGUUUGUGCUCAGCCUGGGCGACACAGUAAGACUCUGUCUCAAAACAACAACAUAAAACCAAAGAAUGUUAAACAGAUUUCCUUUAGUUCUGUGCUGAAGGAGAGGAAUAGGAUGCUUUAUAAUAUGGGGGUUGACUAGGUCUGUUGGGGGAGGCACAAAGGAAGCCACCCCCACUUUUUUGCAUGAUAAUGAAUAAUGACACCAUUAGUGGCGUGUUUAUACAGAGAGGCGGUGACAAAUAUAAUUCCUCCUUUGCUGCCACUUUUGACUUUAUGUGUGUUGAAUUUAGAUACCCCUCCAUCAACUGAUGUGAGCGGCUCCUGGAGGGUCCUUAAAGGGUCCCAAACUAUGAGCGCUGCUCUCGACCUGUACACCAGACACAGGUAAAGGGACUUCUCACUCCCCCCACUUCCAAACUAUGAGCGCUGCUCUCGAUCUGUAUGUACACCAGACACAGGUAAAGGGACUUCUCACUCCCCCCACCUCCAAACUAUGAGCGCUGCUCUCGACCUGUACACCAGACACAGGUAAAGGGACUUCUCACUCCCCCCACCUCCAAACUAUGAGCGCUGCUCUCGACCUGUACACCAGACACAGGUAAAGGGACUUCUCACUCCCCCCACUUCCAAACUAUGAGCGCUGCUCUCGAUCUGUACACCAGACACAGGUAAAGGGACUUCUCACUCCCCCCACCUCCACUGUCUGCCCUGCCACUGGGCCCAAUUCUGGAAGGGGUGAACAGCUCGGAAGAAGGCCGGGCUCGGCAGCCACGGUGCUCUCUCUGGGCCUCUGUUCUCACUGCAAAGUGGACUAACAGGCCUCCAUGGACCAGCUCACAGUAUUUGCUGUAAGGGUCACAUGAAGCGAUUGAUGUGAAAAGUAUUUAUUGUCUUGGAAAUUCCUGAAUUCACCACCAUAUUCCUCACUGCCAUCCUCAUCCAUGAAAGCGAGGGGGCUGAGGGAGGUUUUGAGACUUCCCAUGAAGCCCCUUCUUUCUGGGAUUUCAACACACCCAACUCCGUGGAGCGCGUGGCCGCCUUCUCAGCGGAGCAAUGCUGUCACCUAGUGGCCACUCCGCACCCUUCUCCUUGGAAUCAGGAGCUGACCCGGAGCACCUGCCCUUGGGAGCUGUCCCCAGGUACCCCUCCACACCUGCAAAGCUACCGGUGGUCAGGGCUUCCGUGUCUGGUCAUGAGAGAGCAAAUAUUGCAGUGGAGAAGAGGGGCUGAGGAGGCAGGGUCCCUGCUCUUAUGAAGGGCAGCUUGUCCUUGGGCCCCCUAGCUCCUCCUGCCAUUGGACUUGGCUUGGCAGAUAUUCCAUCAGAGCAGGCGAGGGCAGGAGGCCUGGGUUUCCAGACCCUCAUCUGCAGGGUGCCUGUCAGUGUUGAAGUCAAGAAGCUCCUUCGUGUGAGCCUCACCCUGUUUCUACCUCGUGUCUUCCUGUAGUUUAUUCUCUACCUGGCUUCUAGAGUGAUCCCUUUAAAAGCAAGUCAGAUGAUGUCAUGCCGCUGCUCAAACCCUGCAGUUAUUCCCACUCAGAGUAAAACCAAAGACAGCAAGACAGGAUCGGGGCCUGUGGGUAACCUUCCCUGCCCUUGUUUAUCUUUUUAGUUUUUGUUUUCAAUAUUUAUUUAUUCACUUAUUUAUUUUUUAUUUUUUGAGAUGGAGUCUUGCUCUGUUGCUCAGGCUGGAGCGCAGUGGUGCACUCAGCUCACUGCAAUCUCUGCCUCCCGGGUUCAAGCGAUUCUCUUGCCUCAGCUUCUCAAGAAGCUGGGAUUACAGGCAUAUGUCACCAGGCCCAGAUAAUUUUUGUAGUUUUAGUAGAGACAGGGUUUUGCCAUGUUGGCUAGACUGGUGCUGGUCUCAAGCUCCUGACCUCAGGUGAUCCACCCAUCUCGGCCUCCCAAAGUGCUGGGAUUAUAGGCAUGAGCCACUGCACCUGGCCUUGUUUUGUUUUUGAGACAGGGUCUCACUCUAUCACCGAGGCUGGAGUGCAGUGGUGCAAUCAUGGCUCACUGCAGCCUUGACCUGACGGGCUCAAGCAAUCCUCCUACCUCAGCCUCCUGAGUAGCUGGGACUACAGGUGUGCCCCUCCAUGCCCAGCUAAUUGGCAUUUAUUUUUUUGUUCUUUUUUUCUUUUUCUUUCUUUCUUUUCUUUUUUUUUUUUUCUUUUUUUUUUUGAGACAGAGUCUCGCCCUAUCACCCAGGCUGGAGUGCAAUGGCGCGAUCUCAGCUCAUUGCAACCUCCGCCUCCAGGUUCAAGUGAUUCUCCUGUCUCAGCCUCCUGAGUAGUUGGGAUUACAGGCACGUGCCAUCAUGCCCGGCUAAUUUUUUGUAUCUUCAGUAGAGGCAGGGUUUCACCAUGUUGUGCAGGCUGGUCUGGAACUCUGGGACUCAAGCAAUCCUCCCACCUCGGCCUCCCAAAGUGCUGGGAUUACAGGCUUGAGCCACUGUGCCCAGCUCUGUUUAUCUUUCAGACUGCACCUGCCCCUCAUCAGCUCCUCUCCAGCCUCCUUGUCAUGCCUUAAACUCUCACUGCUGCUCCCUCUGCUUGGAAUGACCUUCCCCUGGGUAGCUGCACAGGUGGGCCCUCGUGUCAUUUAUCACUCUGCUUAAAUAGCCCUUACUCAGAAAAGUCUGCCUUAACUAAAUUAGCAGCCUCCAUCACUUUUCUUCCCCUUUGCCUACUUUGCUUUCUUCACAGGACUCACAAUAUAUGGUUGUUUCUUGGUAUCUGCGGUGAUACUAAAAUCUGCGGAUGCUCAAGUCCCUUCUAUAAAAUGCUGUAGUAUUUGUGUAUAAACUUCACAUAUCCUCUCAUAUACUUUAUUUUUAUUUUUAAUUUUUUUUGGGACAGGGUCUCACUCCAUCACCCAGGCUGGAGUGCAGUGGCGUGAUCUCGGUUCACCGCAACCUCUGCCUCCCGGGUUCAAGCAGUUCUGAUGCCUCAGCCUCCUGAAUAGCUGGGAUCACAGGCAUGAGCCACCAUGGCUGGCUAAUUUCUAUAUAUAUUUUUAAAAGUAGAGACAGGGAGGUUAAGAGGAGGGUUUAGAUAAUAAAAUGUGUGGUAUAGAGUUCUGGAAAAUGCAUAGUGUAUAGUGCUCCUAGAAAGAUUUGUAGUAGUUAGGGCAUUUAUUAUAAUAAUGUUCAUGUACUCUGCUACAAAAAAGAGAGCGUAUGGGCCUGCAGCAUAUUCAAUAUUAAACUCUGAGACUAAUUCUCAUUCUCCUUCUGUCAG
rnacentral:lncRNA from 10 species